ensembl:lncRNA
GAAUAAAUAGUGAGGGUCAGCUCGCUAGGUAGACUCAGUCACAAACUUGUCUUACCAGAUAAAGUGUUGCAGAUUAAACUAUUUUACCCCCCUGGGAGCAGGUCUCUGUGGCCGUAGGAGUGUAUAGGAAAACCAUCAGCCGAUGUGUCAAGUGGAAGGGAAAACUGAAGUCGAAGGAUUCGUGGCUUUUCACAUACAAAGGCAUCCUCCCAUCCCUCCUGGCCAGCCAGCGAAGGAUGGACAAGUGCACCUGGAGGCUACUGCCCAGGUGCAAGGGGUGGGUGUGGGGCAAGCUGCAGAAUGCCCCAGAACAAAGACACCUCCAGGGGCCUCCUCGGAGGUCACCCGCUGCCUCCAGGGCAGAUUAAGGAGGACUGGAGAUGGCGCUUGGAGGAAAUGGUGCUGUUCUUUGGGAAAUCAAUUCGUCCCACCCUUAAUAGGGUGUUUUGCCCUCCCUCUUUGGGAGUUCCAGGCAAUGGGCUUCCAGGUCUCUACGGUUCUGAAAGAGGCGGCCCCUUUGCCAGCCCAUGUUCCUUCAAACAGCCCAGGCCCCACAAGAAUCUCUUCUGCUCUCUGCCACGUUUCCUUUCCCUUUUCUCCCUCUUUCAGGCUCUCCCGCCCCUCUCUAUACCCAAGCUCCUUUCAUAAUGAGGCUGGAAGUGGAACUUUCCCCCACUCCCUUACUUUGAGAUUUCUUUUUUCCCAGUGACCUGGGCUGCACUUUACCCCCACUCCCUGCCUGCCAAUCUCCUCAGGGUUAGGGCCUUUCUCUAUCCAUUCUUUCAGGUUCCCCCUCCUUGAGAGCUCCAGGAGGCCAGGCCUUCCAGAAUCUGAUCUCCUUCCAACACUGCAGCCCCCCUGAGGAGGAAGGAAGAAGCCUCCUCCGAAUGAAUGGCCGGAAGGAGAAGACCCCAGCCUAUCCCCGGGAGUUUGCUGACACCCAUGGGGUCCAUCAGAAAGCAGUUCAGGAUGCCUGGCAAAAGGAACAUGACGAGACAUCUCAAUACAAUGUCCCACACUGGCUAAGAAAUGUGAAAACAGCUAAAGAAGAAAUAAAGCAAAAGAGAAAAACAAGGAAAAGAGGAUAGAAAAGAAGCAAAGCCAUCUCAGAGAAGACAUCUCUAGAAGGCCUGUUAUACUGUAAGGGAGGCAUCCUGAUGUCUGGCUGAAGUCUCUCCUUCUGCAAAAUUGUCUUGGGCUUCCCAGGUGGCUCAGUGGUAAAGAAUCCACCUACUAAUGCAGGAGACGCUAGUUUGAUCCCUGGGUUGGGAAGAUCCCCUGGAGAAGGAAAUGACAAUCUACUCCAGUACUCUUGCUUGGGAAAUCCCAUGGACAGAGGAGCCUGGUGGGUUACGAAAGUCGGACAUGACUGAGCAGCUAAACAACAACAACAUUGCAUUGUUUUCCUUUGUUUCAAGAUUUAUAGCAUAUAAGCAGCUCUUAGAGUGGUAACUAUUGUUAUUAUUUUAUUAAUCAUUAUGUAGAUCAUUAUUUCAUUAAUUACUUCCCUAUUUGAACUCUGCCUUGUUCUCCCCCUCCCCAAAUAUACGGUGGCUAGUAAGGGAUCAUAAAAUACAGCAGAAUACACACAAAGAGCAAGAAAAGAUGGCCAAAACACAAGACGCACACUGCAGGACAGUGCAUACUUUGUGAACCAUUUCUAAAAUGUAUACAAAAUACAAAUCUCAUAUAAUUCUAUAAUUAAUUUAUUAAGAUAAAAAAUAAAAAACUGAACUAAACUUAAGAUAUAGGAUACUGCUAGAUUUGGGGGGAAGGAAAUAGUCCUAGAGUAGAAGGAUGGUGGGCUUUUCUACUUUCUGUGUAAUGUUUCAGUGACUUGAAGUAAAUAGAACAAAAUAUUAACAACUGUCAAUUUUGUGUGGCAGGUACUAGAUAUUGCACUACUUUAUGGACUUUAGAUUUGGAAGAAGAUCUCAGAGUUGUAUUUACUUGCUCAAGUGAGCCAUGAGUUGAUCUCUAAGCUCUCUAAAGGGCAAUAUAAGGAAAGGAGCCAGGUCAGUUCUACAAUUGAUGGUAUCGUGAGUAUCCCGAGGUGAAAAUAUAUCCAGGCUUUGGGAGAGCCCAGAACCUGGUACUGAGAACUCUAGAAGCUAUGCUUAUUCCACAGUGGCUAGUGGGUGGUGGUUUCAGCAGGGGUUUGGGAGUCUGAGAGCUUGUGUGUGUGUGUGUUUCUGGGUGUGUGAUUAGAAGAGGGAGCGAUUGGUCACACAUCUACAGACAUGUAGCUCUUCACCUGAAUUGUCUGUUCUAAAGACUCAGGUGAGAGUCACCUCAGCCCUGAAGAUGGGAGUGCUCAGGGACAAGCUCCUCGUGGUGGCCUUGCCACCAGCCAAUGACUCAGUAUUUUCAAACGGCAUCACAGCAAAGCCCAGUUCAUAAAGCUUUGAGGAGCCCCCACUACUAUUGGGCAGGCCCCAGCUCUCUGCCUAUCAGACCUGGGGUUUUCAAGCCCUUGGAAGACUAAAGGGGCCGUCCAUCCUUAAAGCAAAGAAAUGCAAGCUACUCCUGCCCUUGGCCAAAGCUGUGACCAACACAGGGAGGAGGUGAGGUAGAGAUGGUGCUGCCCACAGGAGCCUGGGAAGGUCACCAAUGUCUUCUUCCCCUUGUGAGGGACCAGUAGUCAGCUGGGUGCAGAGGAGCUGGGAACUCGCCUCUCUAGAGGGCCACCCCUCCUCCUCUGGAGGGGAGCCCAGGUGACUCACCGUUGUGCCAGGUUUUUCCUCAGAAAGCAUUCGAAAUUGGCUCCAGCACCCAAAUGCGCAGCGAUGCAGCACCUAGGGUCAACUCCAGGAGGUGUGCCCG